rnacentral:lncRNA from 1 species
AGGGCUGAACCGCAGCUGCCUUCAACAAAGAUUAAGCGGCUCUGCGAUAGUCGCUGCAUAUACGAGGAAGGAGGCGACAGGGCCCAGCUGUCACACAGCUUGGUGAAGAAGCCAGGAGACAUAAACACAAGAGUGCAACGGAAAACUUUAUAUGAUAAACAUUUAUGUCGGGUUAGUGGAGCGCGAAGGAAGAAGGAUCUCUUGUGGGUGGGGGGAGACUCACAGAAGCGGUGCAAGCUCAACAGGUAGGCAAGGAAGGGCAGAACACGUAGGCCCAUUUUAGAUCUGCAGUGUAUGUCAGAUGACUGGUGUUUAGGAGAUGAGGAAGAAGCCAUAUUAUCACUUCUGCAAGGAUAAAAAAUCUGAUCCUCCAAGCAGGAGGAUCGCUUGAGCCCGGGAGUCCGAGGCUGCAGUGAGCCAUGAUCGCGCUACGCACCCAGCCUGGGCUUCAGAGGAAGACGCUGGCGCAAAAGUAAAUAAAUAAAGAAGAUGGCCUGCAGGGGACACCAGGUAAAGGGUAUUAUAUUUUGAGAUGGAAAGAUUUUGUGCAUGUUUAUAACUUUUAGAGAAGGACACAUAAGAGAUAGAAAAAUAAAAAAUACAAGAGAAAGAAGAAAGCGAGGUCUCGGGAAAUAUGAAGGGGAAGACCAAAGGCCCAGAUGAAUAAAAACAGGUGCAUUAUUGCCUUUGAUGGGGUGAGGAGGAGGGAAAAGUCGGGUGAGGGUAUAGGUGAGCAUGUAGAUACGAGGGCAAGAAGGUACAUUUUCUUGUCACCUAAGACAGGAGACCACCUUCGUAAAUAGGAAGGGUGGUUUUGGAUCUUUGAGGAAGCAAGGAUGGGUUUGGAUCCUUGAGGAGAAGGUUUGGAAAAGCCAUUGUGAGAAAUGAAUAAGGAAGCCUAUUAGAAAAAAACAGGUGGGAAGCGGUGGUGCACACCUGCAAUCCCAGCACUCUGGGAGGCUGAGGUGGGCAGAUCACUUGAAGUCAGGAGUUCAAGACCACCCUGGUCAACAUCGUGAAACCCCAUCUCUACUAAAAAUAAAAAAAUUAGUUGGGCUUGGUCGUGGGUGCCUGUAAUCCCAGCUACUCUACUCGGGAGGCUGAGGUAGGAGAAUCUCUUGAACCCAGGAGAUGGAGGAUGUAGUGAGCCAAGAUCGCAUAUCACUGCACUCCAGCCUGGGCAACAGAGCAAGACUCUGUCUCUAAAACAACAACAACAACAACAACAAAAAAAGAAACUCAAAAGCAAUAUGUCAAGUAGAGUAAAAAGCUGAAACUGGAGAUCAUAUCUGGGAAUAGCCCCAAUUAGGGUCUGUCUCCAGCAACACCCAGAAGCUUGGAUUUUGGACUGGAAAAGACAGAUAUUAGGGAUUUAUAGGGUACAUGAGGAAGAAGAACAAAGGGUCAAGAAUGUUGUAGGUGGUACUGGCAAGAGAAUGAUUGAAAUGAUAAAUUAUGGGAUCCAUGCUAGAUAGCUGGUAAUUAAUUGAGUCAAAAGAGAGAAGUUAAGGAACCAGGAUUAAAGGAAAUCUGAAUUCAAUAUAGCAGGAAAUAAGUUUUAGUCAGAUUGGAUAUUGGGGUUUAACAUUUUAGAGUAGCAAUAGUCCCUGGUGAGGCUGGAUUUAUAGUUGGGUUGUCCACACAAAGUCAAAGUCUUCUAUGAGUAAGAAAAGGAAUAAGAUGAAGGAGAAGGCUAUGAGCCAGGGACCCAAAUCCUCAUUUAAUGAGACACGUGUGUGUGUGUGUGUGUGUGUGUGUGUGUGUUGAGGGAAGCUAUAAAGAGCAAUGAGCAGAGGCAGAGAGGGCAGAGUUGGGCAGAAUGACCCCCAGGUGUAGGGGUUUUUCCCUGAAGAUGAAAACAAUGGAAGUUAAGACAAUGCCAACUUUGCCUUCUGUCACAAGGAACAUAAGAGAUCAGUUUCAAUUCAAUUCAGCAAAAAGUAAAACAAGUGUCCACCCUGGACAAACACCAGGAGCUGGGCUAGGCAUUAGAGACCCAGCAGUGAACAAGACAGGCCCAGUCCCUGCCUCAUAGAGCUCACAGUUAUGGAGAGAAUGACAGUAAAGAACAGAUCUCCAUUGUGAGGGUCCCCAUCACUGUGAGUUCCAGCAUCUCCAAGCUUAGCCCAGCCUCAGCCCCUACAGAGGCAGAGAAAUCAAGAUAAGGAAGAAGUUAUGGGAAUUGCCCUUGAUUAUGCAAAUGUCCCCAGUCACACUAGGAUGCAUUCUUUUUUUAAAAAUUUAAUUUUAGGUUCGGGGGUACAUGUGCAUGUUUGUUACAUGGGUAUAUUGCAUACUGGUGGGCAUUAGGUUUCUAGUGUACCCAUCACCCAAAUAGUGAGCAUUGUACCCAAUUGGUACCUUUUUAACCCUUUCCAUCUUCCCACCCUCCCCCUUUUGGAGUCACCAGUGUCCAUUAUUUCCAUCUUUAUGUUGAUGUGUACCCGUAUUCGUCCAUUCUCAUACUGUUAUAAAGAACUACCUGAGACUGGGUAAUUUAUGAAGAAAAGAGGUUUAAUUGAACUCACAGUUCUGCAGGCUGUACAGGAGGCAUGACUGGGGAGGCCUCAGGAAACUUAACAAUCCUGGCAGAAGGGCCAAAUCAAGUGCUUGGAAGCCAGCACUUCUUCACGUGGCAGCAGGAGAGAGAGAGAGAGAAGGGGGAAGUGCUACACAAUUUUAAACAACUAGAUCUUGUGAGAACUCACUCACUAUCACAAGAACAGCAAGGGGGAAAUCCACCCCCAUGAUCCAAUCACCUCCCACCAGGUCCCUCCCCCAACACUGGGAAUUAGAGUUCAACAUGAGAUUUGGGUGGGGACACAGAGCCAAGCCACAUGAGUGCCCAUUGUUUAGCUCCCACUUAUAAGUGAGAGCAUGCUGUAUCUGGUUUUCUGUUUCUACGUUCGUUGACAGGAUAAUGGCCUUCAGCUCUAUCCAUGUUGCUACAAAGGACAUGAUUUCAUUCUUUUUUUUUUUUUAUGGCUGCUGGAUGCAUCCUUUAAACUAGGUUAUUCCUUUCCUGCUGUGGCUUCUGAAAGGCUAUCAGAGAGUGUCCUUUAUAAAUUGCUCACACAUGCACAAUGUCAGAAAAGGAAAAAUUCCUUUCAUUCCCAGUCAAGAAGAUCAGGGCCUCUGUACCCUUUGUGGUUAUCCUUUCUGCUUCAUUUUCACACACAUAUCUUAUUUGAGCUUUCAAACAACUCUGCCAGGGUGGUCAGUGAGCCUUAUUACAAUUCCAAAAAUCUGAAAAGCUCUGGAAAACAAAAGUAUCUUGGUAACUCCAUUAGUAGAAAAUGACCUGACCUCAAGUAAGGUUGCUUAGUCUUUAUUUGUUUCACUUGGUGUGUUUGGUUCCAGGGUGGGGCACAGACCCUGCUGGUGGUAUUAUGUAAUAUACCACAUGUGCACUGUAUCACCUUUCUAGGAUCCAAAAGGCUGUGAAUUCUGAAAUACGGGUGGCCUCAAGGAUUUCGGACAAGGGAUUAUAGUCCUGUGCCACUCUCCUUUACAGGUGAUGAAGAAACCAAACCUGAAAAAUAAGUGACACUAAACAGAUUGGCCCCAGACUUUGCUCCGGAUUGUCCAGCAAAUGGCAAAAGCCAGUGGAUGUUAAUCAUAACCGGAAGUGACAGGAUUAAUUUUGAUUUUUAGAAAGUGUAACUAGUAGAAAUACAGAAGCUAGAUCGGUAAAGCAGAGCCUGGGUGCAGGGUCAAAACCAAAAGCCCUUGCACUUUUCCUUAUGUUCACCACCUCCCGCGAUUGUGUUCAUGUCUUUGCCUCCCAUUCCUGAUCCCAUUUCUGAUCCCAUUUCCCAUCCCAUUUCCACUGUAUCUACCCUCUCACCCCAAAGUUGCUUUCAUGGGUUCACCAGCUGACUAUUAUAUUACCCACUCCAGCAGACAUCUCUCAAUCCUUUGUGACUAGAUUAUUCAGCUGUAUUUGAGGCCACUGGCCACCCUCUAAUCCCGAAAACUUCCCAGACCCCUGGCUUUUUUGGCCCCAUUCUUUCUCGCUCCUCUCUGACUUCUGCUCUGGCUCUGUCCUGACCUCCUCUGCCUCCCCUGGUUCUUCAGGAUUGGGAUCCCAAGACACCAGCCUCUGGUUUUCACCUUCUCUAGUUCUUCCUGGACAAUACCCUUUGAGUUUUAACCCCAACCUCCAUGCUAUGAGGCUCCUGGAUUCCUACUUCGUCCAGGCUUCUUCCCUGAGCUUCAGAUUCAUAUAUCCCACUGCCUACCAGGUCCACAGCUAACCCCAGAGUUGAAUUGUGGAAGGUGAAAACAAUUUCUCACCAAAUCAAAAUUUCUAAGCUGUAAAUGUGAUGUCUCUUUAAAAAAAAACAACCUAUUUUAUUAUUACUGUUGGCAAAUUAUUAGUAACAUGCAUAUUCAACCACCAGAAUUCAGUUAACUGUGUAUGGCAGACCUUUUAUAGGCCAGUCAUUGUGCUGGGCAAGGCAAUUUACAAGCUAGUGAGGUCAGGGGCAGAGAUAAUAAGGCAAGUUCACAAAUGCCAAUAGCUGAAGCUGGAGAGCGCGUCAAAGCGAGGGAGGGAGCAGUCUAAUCCCUGAGGCUUGGCAGUACCUGUGUUCACUUCCCCUCCCUUUACAUCCUGUUCUGUAUCUUCCCAAAGGUCUGCGGAGGCAUGCAAGAGGAGGAAAGUUUGGUGGUUGUUAAGAUAAAGAGGAGUGACUGUUUUUGAACUCUUUCUUUUGCUUAAGUUUUGGUGCCUCUUUGUUUUCCUCAGUUGUCUUCUAAAAACAAUCAGCACUGUAGCUGCUUUAGACUAAGAACAUAUAUAGGUCCUUAAAUGGAUUCUUAUAUUAAUAAUCAUAGUACUAGUCCGAAG